UGGGGAAUAUUGCACAAUGGGCGGAAGCCUGAUGCAGCGACGCCGCGUGAGGGAUGACGGCCUUCGGGUUGUAAACCUCUUUCAGCAGGGACGAAGCGAGAGUGACGGUACCUGCAGAAGAAGCACCGGCCAACUACGUGCCAGCAGCCGCGGUAAGACGUAGGGUGCGAGCGUUGUCCGGAUUUAUUGGGCGUAAAGAGCUCGUAGGCGGCUUGUCGCGUCGACUGUGAAAACCCGCGGCUCAACCGCGGGCCUGCAGUCGAUACGGGCAGGCUAGAGUUCGGUAGGGGAGAUCGGAAUUCCUGGUGUAGCGGUGAAAUGCGCAGAUAUCAGGAGGAACACCGAUGGCGAAGGCAGAUCUCUGGGCCGAUACUGACGCUGAGGAGCGAAAGCGUGGGGAGCGAACA
rnacentral:rRNA from 1 species